GGGAGCAGGAGGGUCGCUGACAGUGUUAGACACUGAGGAAAGUCCCCUCUCCGNGAUGCAGGCGUCUCGUCACAAGGCGGGGGUCCGGGAGGGCCGGCUCUGCAGCAGAAACGAACCAUGCCAGGAGUACGAUGAACCCGAAAGGGAGAGGUUUCCUGAGCGUGGCUGGAACGGGCAACCACGCCGGAGCAAGUCCAAGCAGGUCCGCAGGGCAUCGACAGGACCGGGUAGGAUGCAAAGUUGAAUGCGACCAGCCGAAAGGUGAACAGAAAGGGGCUUACUCCCUGCACCC
rfam:Euryarchaeota archaeon TMED164 42300, whole genome shotgun sequence.